GGGACACGUGGUAUCCUGUCUGAAUAUGGGGGGACCAUCCUCCAAGGCUAAAUACUCCUGACUGACCGAUAGUGAACCAGUACCGUGAGGGAAAGGCGAAAAGAACCCCGGCGAGGGGAGUGAAAAAGAACCUGAAACCGUGUACGUACAAGCAGUGGGAGCACGCUUAGGCGUGUGACUGCGUACCUUUUGUAUAAUGGGUCAGCGACUUAUAUUCUGUAGCAAGGUUAACCGAAUAGGGGAGCCGAAGGGAAACCGAGUCUUAACUGGGCGUUAAGUUGCAGGGUAUAGACCCGAAACCCGGUGAUCUAGCCAUGGGCAGGUUGAAGGUUGGGUAACACUAACUGGAGGACCGAACCGACUAAUGUUGAAAAAUUAGCGGAUGACUUGUGGCUGGGGGUGAAAGGCCAAUCAAACCGGGAGAUAGCUGGUUCUCCCCGAAAGCUAUUUAGGUAGCGCCUCGUGAAUUCAUCUCCGGGGGUAGAGCACUGUUUCGGCAAGGGGGUCAUCCCGACUUACCAACCCGAUGCAAACUGCGAAUACCGGAGAAUGUUAUCACGGGAGACACACGGCGGGUGCUAACGUCCGUCGUGAAGAGGGAAACAACCCAGACCGCCAGCUAAGGUCCCAAAGUCAUGGUUAAGUGGGAAACGAUGUGGGAAGGCCCAGACAGCCAGGAUGUUGGCUUAGAAGCAGCCAUCAUUUAAAGAAAGCGUAAUAGCUCACUGGUCGAGUCGGCCUGCGCGGAAGAUGUAACGGGGCUAAACCAUGCACCGAAGCUGCGGCAGCGACGCUUAUGCGUUGUUGGGUAGGGGAGCGUUCUGUAAGCCUGUGAAGGUGUGCUGUGAGGCAUGCUGGAGGUAUCAGAAGUGCGAAUGCUGACAUAAGUAACGAUAAAGCGGGUGAAAAGCCCGCUCGCCGGAAGACCAAGGGUUCCUGUCCAACGUUAAUCGGGGCAGGGUGAGUCGACCCCUAAGGCGAGGCCGAAAGGCGUAGUCGAUGGGAAACAGGUUAAUAUUCCUGUACUUGGUGUUACUGCGAAGGGGGGACGGAGAAGGCUAUGUUGGCCGGGCGACGGUUGUCCCGGUUUAAGCGUGUAGGCUGGUUUUCCAGGCAAAUCCGGAAAAUCAAGGCUGAGGCGUGAUGACGAGGCACUACGGUGCUGAAGCAACAAAUGCCCUGCUUCCAGGAAAAGCCUCUAAGCAUCAGGUAACAUCAAAUCGUACCCCAAACCGACACAGGUGGUCAGGUAGAGAAUAC
rnacentral:rRNA from 1 species